GCUGGGUGUGUUGGUGCAUGCCUGUAAUCCCAGCUGCUCUGGAGGCUGAGGCAGGAGGAUCAUGAGUUCAAAGCCAGCCUCAGCAAUGGCGAGGCACUAAGCAAUUCAGUGAGACCCUAUCUCUA
rnacentral:sRNA from 1 species